UUGUGUGUGGAUAGUGUUCAGCAUUAAGGACAUGGAUGUUUCUAUGUGGAUAGUGUUCAGCACUAAGGACAGGAAUGUUUCAGU
rnacentral:pre_miRNA from 1 species